rnacentral:tRNA from 1 species
GGGUACAGCUCAGUGGUAGAGCACAUGCUUAGUGUGUAUGAGGUCUUGGGUUCAAUCUCCAGUACCUCCA